rnacentral:rRNA from 1 species
AAUCCAUAGGUUAAUGAGGCGAACCGGGGGAACUGAAACAUCUAAGUACCCCGAGGAAAAGAAAUCAACCGAGAUUCCCCCAGUAGCGGCGAGCGAACGGGGAGGAGCCCAGAGCCUGAAUCAGCAUGUGUGUUAGUGGAAGCGUCUGGAAAGGCGCGCGAUACAGGGUGACAGCCCCGUACACAAAAGCGCAUGUGCUGUGAGCUCGAUGAGUAGGGCGGGACACGUGGUAUCCUGUCUGAAUAUGGGGGGACCAUCCUCCAAGGCUAAAUACUCCUGACUGACCGAUAGUGAACCAGUACCGUGAGGGAAAGGCGAAAAGAACCCCGGCGAGGGGAGUGAAAAAGAACCUGAAACCGUGUACGUACAAGCAGUGGGAGCACAGGUUUACCUGUGUGACUGCGUACCUUUUGUAUAAUGGGUCAGCGACUUAUAUUCUGUAGCAAGGUUAACCGUAUAGGGGAGCCGGAGGGAAACCGAGUCU